rnacentral:rRNA from 1 species
CGCAACGGGAGGAACGUGCGGUUUAAUUGGAUUCAACACCGGAAAACUCACCAGCAGCGACUAUUACAUGAAAGUCAGGUCGAUGACCUUACUAGAUUUUUAGAGAGGUGGUGCAUGGCCGUCGUCAGUUCGUACCGUAAGGCGUUCUCUUAAGUGAGAUAACGAACGAGACCCUCACCAAUAAUUGCUACUGCGUCGUCCGCGGCGUAGGCACAUUAUUGGGACCGCUGGCGCUAAGUCAGAGGAAGGAGAGGUCAACGGUAGGUCAGUAUGCCCCGAAUCUGCUGGGCUACACGCGCGUUACAAAGGGCGGGACAAUGGGCUCCGACGCCGAAAGGCGAAGGCAAUCUCGAAACCCGUCCGUAGUUCGGAUUGAGGGUUGUAACUCACCCUCAUGAAGCUGGAUUCUGUAGUAAUCGCGAAUCAACAACUCGCGGUGAAUAUGCCCCU